ACGGGUGAGUAAUAUAUCGGAACGUGCCCAAUCGUGGGGGAUAACGUAGAGAAAUUUACGCUAAUACCGCAUACGAUCUAAGGAUGAAAGCGGGGGAUCGCAAGACCUCGCGCGAUUGGAGCGGCUGAUAUCAGAUUAGGUUGUUGGUGAGGUAAAAGCUCACCAAGCCGACGAUCUGUAGCUGGUUUGAGAGAACGACCAGCCACACUGGGACUGAGACACGGCCCAGACUCCUACGGGAGGCAGCAGUGGGGAAUUUUGGACAAUGGGCGAAAGCCUGAUCCAGCAAUGCCGCGUGCAGGAAGAAGGCCUUCGGGUUGUAAACUGCUUUUGUACGGAACGAAACAGCUCUUUCUAAUAAAGAGGGCUAAUGACGGUACCGUAAGAAUAAGCACCGGCUAACUACGUGCCAGCAGCCGCGGUAAUACGUAGGGUGCGGGCGUUAAUCGGAAUUACUGGGCGUAAAGCGUGCGCAGGCGGUUAUAUAAGACAGUUGUGAAAUCCCCGGGCUCAACCUGGGAAUUGCAUCUGUGACUGUAUAGCUAGAGUACGGUAGAGGGGGAUGGAAUUCCGCGUGUAGCAGUG
rnacentral:rRNA from 1 species